rnacentral:tRNA from 1 species
GACUCAGUGAUCUAGUGGUAAGGCGUUCGCCGUUGAACCAGAAGGUCCUAAGUUCGGUCCCCAGUGGGGUCG